AUUGAACGCUGGCGGCAGGCCUAACACAUGCAAGUCGAACGGUAGCACAGAGAGCUUGCUCUCGGGUGACGAGUGGCGGACGGGUGAGUAACGUCUGGGAAACUGCCCGAUGGAGGGGGAUAACUACUGGAAACGGUAGCUAAUACCGCAUAACGUCGCAAGACCAAAGUGGGGGACCUUCGGGCCUCACACCAUCGGAUGUGCCCAGAUGGGAUUAGCUAGUAGGUGGGGUAAUGGCUCACCUAGGCGACGAGCCCUAGCUGGUUUGAGAGGAUGACCCGCCAGACUGGAACUGAGACACGGUCCAGACUCCUACGGGAGGCAGCAGUGGGGAAUAUUGCACAAUGGGCGCAAGCCUGAUGCAGCCAUGCCGCGUGUAUGAAGAAGGCCUUCGGGUUGUAAAGUACUUUCAGCGGGGAGGAAGGCGGUGAAGUUAAUAGCUUCACCGAUUGACGUUACCCGCAGAAGAAGCACCGGCUAACUCCGUGCCAGCAGCCGCGGUAA
rnacentral:rRNA from 1 species